AGAGUUUGAUCAUGGCUCAGAUUGAACGCUGGCGGCAUGCUUAAUACAUGCAAGUCGAACGGUAACAGAUUCUUCGGAAUGCUGACGAGUGGCGGACGGGUGAGUAAUACAUAGGAAUCUGCCCAUGUAGUGGGGGACAACUUGGGGAAACUCAAGCUAAUACCGCACAAUUCUUACGGGAUAAAGAGGGCCACUGCUUGCAAGCUCUUGCUACUGGAUGAGCCUAUGUCGGAUUAGUUAGUUGGUAAGGUAAUGGCUUACCAAGACAGCGAUCCGUAGCUGGUUUGAGAGGAUGAUCAGCCACACUGGGACUGAGACACGGCCCAGACUCCUACGGGAGGCAGCAGUAGGGAGUAUUGGACAAUGGGCGCAAGCCUGAUCCAGCAAUGCCGCGUGUGUGAAGAAGGCCUGCGGGUUGUAAAGCACUUUCAAUUGGGAAGAAAGAUUAUGAGUUAAUACCUUAUAAUAUUGACG
rnacentral:rRNA from 1 species